CUCCUCCAGACCUCCCUCCUAGCCGCCGCCGCCUCUCCUCCUCUUCCUCCUCUUUCUCCCGUGCCUCCGCCGCUUCUCCUCACCUUCCUCCUCUUUCUCCCGUGCCGCCGCCGCCUCUCCUCCUCCUCCUCCUCCUCCUCCUCCCGACGUUAGCGCGGUUGGGUCAUCGGGUGAGCAGCGGCAGGCAUCUGUAGUGUGUCGGAGUGUGCGGAUGAUGACAGCGGCACGCAUCUUGGUGAGGCAACGGCCACGGGCGUGCCCUCCUCUGCGCUUCCUCUUGAAGUACCCUCUGCUGCCGCGUGCUCGUCCUUCGUGUGUUGCCACACCGUGGAGACGGGUACACGAACUAGGCGGGCCACGGGACGACAGCUGCUCGAGCACCCACCUCGUGAGGAGGGGUUGAGUACAGCUCCCAGAUCAUGGAGGAGAUGCCAGCACAGGGUUUGGUGGCAGAAGUCACUGGAUGCAUGCCCAAGAAGCCCAGCACGGCCAGCCUUAGACAGUGUUGGCCAACUGGAAAUUUAAAAGUCAAAAAUUCUCUGUCGAAAUUGAACUGGUGUGAUUUACAACUCCAGCGUUGCAACAUGCCAUCUUCCACUAGCUAUUACAACUUACUGGAAGGCCUUGACAAAAAUAUUCUUUGUCGAAAUUGGACUGGUGUGAUUUACAACUCCAGCAUUGCAACAUGCCAUCUUCCACUAGCUACUACAACUUACUGGAAGGCCUUGACAAUGAACAGAGAUAACUAAGAUGGAUAGAUUUUCCAAUUUGUCAUUCUAACCAAGACAAACCACUUUUGAGGUUGACAUUGUUGGAGUAAGUUGCUAUUCUUCAAAUGACCUGUUGUCUUGGAGAAACGAAGGAGUUGUGCUCCAUGGCGAGGAAAAUAAUUUGUCACAUGACCUCCACAAAUCCAAUGUCUUGGAGAGACCCAAGGUGGUCUAUAACAACCGGACCGGCAAAUACGUGAUGUGGAUGCACAUAGACGAUGCGAACUACACCAAAUCCUCAAUCAGCGUGGCAACGAGUGAUUCUCCCAUGGGACCAUUCACUUAUCUCUACAGUAAGCGCCCACAUAACUACGAAAGAAGAGACAUGACCAUUUUCAAGGCCUACCUGAUAUAUUCAUCCAAGGGCAACAAUGAGCUCCACAUUGUGCAGCUAACCGAUGACUACCUCGACAUGACCGACGGCAUGCGAAGAAUUCUUGUUGCACGGUAUCGAGAAGCCCUCGCGCUCUUCAAGUUCCGUGACAUCUACUACUGAUAACCUCGGGUUACACCGGCUGGGCACCGAACACUGCAAGGUGAAGAAAAAUUCAGAUGGGAAACUACACAUAUAUACUGUAUGCUACACAAAUAUUGCAACAUACAUGGGUGCCAAUGCGGAUGCCGAUGCUACCUAUCGUAUGUUGAUAUUAACAUGGAGGAGGCACAUAUGUUUGUUGAUUCUGUUUCUGGGUUGGCCCUUGAGGGGGAGAGGAAAGCAAACUUCAGCAUGCUUCAGGGAUUUUAUACAUGGUGUCAACACAAUUCUCCGGUACAUUGCACGUGCUGCAUUUGUUUCCAGCUUCUAUGUCCAGGACGAUAUUCAGGCAGCACAAGUUGACCAAUGGCUCAAGUACGCACCAACUCAUUCUCUCGGGCUCUGAAUUUGAAUCUGCUUGCUCAUUUCUUGAUGGAUACUUGGCAACUCGAACCUUUUUUGUUGAUUAUGGUCUAUCAAUUGCUGACAUUGUCAUGUGGUCAAAUCUCACAGGUCACCAUGGUUGUUCCAUUGUCAUAUCAUUCAUCAUAUGCUGCUGUUUAGCAUCACAAAAGAAGAAGGCCAGAGUUAUUUCUUCCUUUUGGAUAUUUUCCAUCAUAACUAGCAGCCAAUCUGAGCCGAAUAUCUGAAGUAAUUUCCGUAAGUUAAGUUCCGGUGCUCCUAUCUUUGAACUAGAGUCUUAGCGCUUAUUUUGUCCACGUCAAGGUUUCUUUGUGUGCAAUUGAAAAUUAUGUGAGAACUGAGUUUUUACUCCAAUACCCCAAUUUCAGCAGAUAUUGAAAACCUCAAGAGUUUGGUGCCAUUUGUCACGCUUGUAUACUUAAUGCUAUUCUUUGUGUCUUUAAUAAUGUCUCACCAUUUGUACAACUCAAAAGAGGAUUUCCCAUGAACAUUUUAGCACUGCUCUUACCUAUCGAUCAAAAAAUGUUAUUCUCUACAGGUUAAAUUUGUUUGAAGAUGAUACUAUGCAUGAUGCGUAAGCUGGGGAUGGCAUGACAGUGCAUGCUGAUGCUGUCGGUCGAGAAGUACCAUACCGCUCUUGCCUUCCCUGCCAAUGCUUCCUCCUGCCAUGCUAGCCAUGUGUGCCCUCACCUUUGUUCAUCAAUUCGUGCGCAGGUAUGGAUCGGUGAUGUUGUCGAUGCCUAUAGAGCCAUUACCUCAUGCAUGAUGUGUGUUUUGUGUGUGCCAAUUUGCCGGUUAGUGAGUGAUAAUAUUCGGAUGAAUGUUUCAUCGGUGUAGCAAGUGAUCAGCAAUAGACAGCUCUUACUUUUGGAUUGAUGUGCAGAUCUUGCUAAAGAGUUAACUAAGGACUCAUUUAUCUAUUCUUAUGCCCCAAUGCUUCAUUAAGUAUUCUCAUUUCUGCAACAUAAAAUUAUUUCUUACCAUCUUCUAUUGUUUCCUCUGUUUUUAUCAGUUAUUCAAUGAACACCACAUGUCACAUGAAAUUUAGACUACUUGUCUAAAGGUAAUUGGUUAGAAUCAGUUUCUUGAGUUGGCUUGCUUAGCAUGUAAUAUUUCACUCACUAAUUGUAUUAUUUCACAGUUGGCAAUUGUUAGAAUCAGGUCUUAAGUCUGCUUGCUUAAUCGUGUCCCUGUGUAAUUGCUCACCAAGCUCGCCAAUUGUGAGUUUGUCCCACAUAAUGGAGUUUCUAUGAAUUUUUGUAGUCCAGAAAUUCUUGGAAAUUCUCCUGUUGCUGUUAUAAUGUGAGUGUGUUCGGCUUCCUUCUUCAUUAAAGGUGAGUCCUUUCUUUCAGGUUGGCCAACAUGAUGUUGUUUCUGCUGGAAAAUAAUUCAUUAUGCAAUUAUGGUUAGGUUGUCCUUUUUCCUUCAUAACUACGCUUAAUGGGUAGCGGGUAGCUGUUAUGCUCACUUUGCUCAAAGCAAGGUUGUGUAGCCGUGCUAUUUUGUGCUUUAAGAAGUAAGGCGACACUAAAUCAGUAAUCCCGUGCUUCUGCUAUGUUGGCCCAAAGUCACUAUUUUUUUCAUGUUAUCUUUACUCUUUAGCCAUUCCAAAACAUUUAUCUGAUUUGCAGUAUGGCGCCUUUGUUUCUGGUCUACAAAACAACAACUUUUACCCAGGCUUGUUAUUUCUAAUUCAUUCUUUUUCCCUGCUUGCUUAUUAUAACACAAGCCAUCAUGACUCUACUAUCAAUCAUACACACCUUUUCGAUAUACUCCCUCUGUCCAAAAAAGCUUUUCCCAAGUUUGUCCCUUAAAUGAAUGUAUCUACUAUAUACGGAGCAAAAUGAGUGAAUCUACACUAAAAUAUGUCUAUGUACAUCCGUAUGUAGUCCUUAUUGAAAUAUCUAAAAAGACUUAUAUUUAGGAACGGAAGGAGUAUACAUUUACUAUUUCAACCAUAACUUAUUGAAUGAUAGGUCACCGAUUAUAAUUUCAAAGAGGAUUUUAUAUAGGCCCUAUUUUCAUUUCGAUCUGUCCAUGAUACCCUUGCAUUAAUAUUGUAUGACAUUGUUUAUUCAUCUUCAUAUGUUCUGUUCAGUGCAAAUGCUACAUGUAUGUGCUUAUUACGUCAGCAUGGAUGAUAUGUUUGAUGCCCGUAUAGAGAUGCUACUUUAUUUUAUUGUUCAUCUCUUCCGGUCAUUUCUUGAUAAUCUUCAUUAUUAUUAAUGAAAUGGCACCAUAAUCUGUUAUAUGGUGGUUGGAAAUGUGGUUACAUGGAAUUAUGUAUCUUCUUAGAUAAAGAACUAUUAUAAAAUAAAAUAUGUAUAUGAAUUUUCAUAUCUCUUGGUUAUUUUAUAUAUACAUUACAUAUUAUUUCUAACUAAUUUCUUAGUACUACUUAGGGCAUGUUUGUUUGGGCUGCAAUUUCCAUGGCUGCAGCUGAAGGAGCGGCUGUAGCUGGUGAUGAAGAGAGGCACUUCGCAUUUGCCCACCAGAAGUACAGAUCGGUAAAGUAUAGAGAAGCUUCAGAGCAUGGCAGCAUUGUUUAUGAGAAGGUCCACGACAAACUGAUAACCUACUUCUUCUUGGAGUUAUCUACUAUCAGUUUAUGACUUGGUGCUAGCUGAAGCUUCUAUUUUCUACCAAAACAGCUAUUAACACAAAAAGUUAAUGGUAUUUCAUAACUAAUGGAUUGAGCAGCAACUCUAGCGAUCCAGGAUUUUAUCCUAAGCUGCUAUUAAACUCACAAGAGGGAGCAUUUUAAUAUUUUAUUAUUUUUUGAACAUGGGAGCAUUUUAAUAACAAAAGAACUCUAGCCAUGCUUUUUGAUAUACUACGUAUAUGUAUGAUGUACUAGCAGUUCCUAUUUUUUAACUAUUGCGUACCAGAAAAUUGAAUUGGCAAUGUAUGCAUAAAUAUGAUGUAUUAAAUUAUGUCAUGAGAGGGAUUUGUUCAUUUUCAAAACUAAGUUGGAUGAGUUUAAAUCACUUAUUCACCAGUACAAGUUAAAUAUGCUUUUAAAAUUUUAAAUACAUGUAUUUUUUUAGAGUACAUUAUCUUUUGUUUCUAAACAACAAUCCUGGAUAUGUUCAUUUUUAUGGCUACAGUACAGGUUAAACCAUCCCAACUCCAUAGCAGUACUACUCCAAACAGAACUGGAAUGAUUAUAUUUUUUAUGGAUUUUACAAAGUCAGCAAGCUGAGCAUUUUUUUUUCGAUUUUCUUAAUAAAUCAAAUAUUAGAGUAAACUUUCGUACUCAGCGACAACUUGACUUAGCCUAAUAUGUUGGUUUCUGAACUUGGUAGAUCAAAUCACCCAGGAAAGUUACGCGUGUGCAAGCUAGCUAGACAAGCACACAAGCAAACUGCCGGAUUGAUGAACAGUAGGGUUCAACAUAACAUAG